rfam:Danio rerio chromosome 4, GRCz11 reference primary assembly.
GUCAGGAUGGCCGAGCGGUCAAAGGUGCUGCGUUCAGGUCGCAGUCUCCCCUGGAGGCGUGGGUUCGAAUCCCACUUCUGUCC